rnacentral:rRNA from 1 species
GACGAACGCUGGCGGCGUGCCUAAUACAUGCAAGUAGAACGCUGAAGCCUGGUGCUUGCACCGAGCGGAUGAGUUGCGAACGGGUGAGUAACGCGUAGGUAACCUGCCUGGUAGCGGGGGAUAACUAUUGGAAACGAUAGCUAAUACCGCAUAAGAGUAGAUAUUGCAUGACAUUUGCUUAAAAGGUGCAAUUGCAUCACUACCAGAUGGACCUGCGUUGUAUUAGCUAGUUGGUGAGGUAACGGCUCACCAAGGCAACGAUACAUAGCCGACCUGAGAGGGUGAUCGGCCACACUGGGACUGAGACACGGCCCAGACUCCUACGGGAGGCAGCAGUAGGGAAUCUUCGGCAAUGGACGGAAGUCUGACCGAGCAACGCCGCGUGAGUGAAGAAGGUUUUCGGAUCGUAAAGCUCUGUUGUAAGAGAAGAACGAGUGUGAGAGUGGAAAGUUCACACUGUGACGGUAUCUUACCAGAAAGGGACGGCUAACUACGUGCCAGCAGCCGCGGUAAUACGUAGGUCCCGAGCGUUGUCCGGAUUUAUUGGGCGUAAAGCGAGCGCAGGCGGUUAGAUAAGUCUGAAGUUAAAGGCUGUGGCUUAACCAUAGUACGCUUUGGAAACUGUUUAACUUGAGUGCAAGAGGGGAGAGUGGAAUUCCAUGUGUAGCGGUGAAAUGCGUAGAUAUAUGGAGGAACACCGGUGGCGAAAGCGGCUCUCUGGCUUGUAACUGACGCUGAGGCUCGAAAGCGUGGGGAGCAAACAGG